AUCCUGCCGGAGGCCAUUGCUAUCGGAGUCCGAUUUAGCCAUGCUAGUCGUGCGAGUUUAGACUCGCGGCACCGAGCUCAGUAACACGUGGCCAAACUACCCUGUAGAGACGUAUAACCUCGGGAAACUGAGGCUAAUUCGUCAUACCGGUUGAACGGUUGAACUCCAUCAACCUCGAAAUGCCCCGGCGCUACAGGAUGUGGCUGCGGCCGAUUAGGUUGACGGUGGGGUAACGGCCCACCGUGCCAAUAAUCGGAACAGGUUGUGAGAGCAAGAACCUGGAGACGGUAUCUGAGACAAGAUGCCGGGCCCUACGGGGCGCAGCAGGCGCGAAACCUUUACACUGCACGCACGUGCGAUAAGGGGACUCCGAGUGCGAGGGCAUAUCGUCCUCGCUUUUGUGUACCGUAGGGUGGUACACGAACAAGGGCUGGGCAAGACCGGUGCCAGCCGCCGCGGU
rnacentral:rRNA from 1 species